rnacentral:rRNA from 1 species
AGAACGAACGCUGGCGGCAUGCCUAAUACAUGCAAGUCGAACGAACUCUUCGGAGUUAGUGGCGCACGGGUGCGUAACGCGUGGGAAUCUGCCCUUGGGUUCGGAAUAACAGUUGGAAACGACUGCUAAUACCGGAUGAUGACGAAAGUCCAAAGAUUUAUCGCCCAGGGAUGAGCCCGCGUAGGAUUAGCUAGUUGGUGAGGUAAAGGCUCACCAAGGCGACGAUCCUUAGCUGGUCUGAGAGGAUGAUCAGCCACACGUGGGACUGAG